rnacentral:rRNA from 1 species
ACCUACGGGGGGCAGCAGUGAGGAAUAUUGGGCAAUGGGGGCAACCCUGACCCAGCCAUGCCGCGUGAGUGAAGAAGGUCUUCGGAUUGUAAAGCUCUUUCGGACGUGACGAUGAUGACGGUAGCGUCUAAAGAAGCACCGGCUAACUACGUGCCAGCAGCCGCGGUAAUACGUAGGGGGCAAGCGUUAUCCGGAUUUACUGGGUGUAAAGGGAGCGUAGACGGCAAUACAAGUCGGAAGUGAAAUACCCGGGCUCAACUUGGGAACUGCUUUGGAAACUGUAUGGCUGGAGUGCUGGAGAGGUA